rnacentral:lncRNA from 1 species
AUUUUCUUAUUUUACAUUGGCGAUAGCUCACAACUUACUGGAAUCCCCUCCCAGUUGGCUACCUUAAAAUGGCGGAAGCUAACAAUGGCAAUGACUAUGCUAUCUAUGAUGAGUCCUCUAUCUAUCUCUAUGACAACAGGCACAACUGCAAUAUAAAGUCGUUUCCCGAAAUGCCACGUAGGUCUACUUAUAUCAGUGCAUUCAACCUAACCAUUUCAACAUUUCUAUUCGAUCAAAUAAGCCUCAGGUAGCAAAUGAGCAAUUACAUUUUUGUUGACCAAAUUCGACUCUCUCGUUCACCUACAUACAAAAAUUCCUCACUUCGUGGGUUUAUUUCAUGGAAAGAUUUUAGGCGGAGUAAAACCUCUCGCUUCGCCUUUUCCUCUCUGUUCUAGCGCAGAGCUCGCUGUUUCUAGCAAGUGUAAACAAAAGGAAAUUGACAUCUUGCAGUCUUGCAUAUCUUGGAAAAGGCAAUCGGCGGAUUAAGCUUUUUACUUGUUGAGUAAAUCGCUAGCUACAUUUAUAUAGUAGUGUGUUAUUUGAGUAUUCAAUUUUGUGUAUAUCCUCGCGCCUUUUAAUUUGAGCUUCAGAUUGAGCAGAAGAAGUGGAAGUCAAAACAUGGUGGAGACACGCACAGAGUCCUUGGAUGACAGCUCCGAUGAUGAACCCCUAAUUGCAUUAGUAAAGAAGAAGCCGCAGCACAUUGAACACAAUGGGACUCCGGGUGAAAAAGACCAAAACCGACAACCUGAACCUGAGUCAAAGAAUAGCACAAGAAAAGAUUCUGGGUUGGAUGACACCUCAGAUGAUGAGCCUUUGACGAAGUUGGUGAAUAAACUUCCCAGCGCUAAAAAAUCCACUGUACAAGCAAAGAGGCCAGGGAAUACUAAUAGCAAAAGAGGAACAGGUAAUGGCAUCAAGAAGACAAACAACAAAUUCACAGGUUCAACCCAGAAUGAGGAUUCCUAUGACAGCUCAGACGAUGAGCCCUUGAUAAAGAUGGUUAAAAAGAUCCCUAAACAGACAUCAUUGCCAUUCAAAAAGAGACCCUUCAACACAGCCAGAGAGGUGAACGAUGUGAAGAAGCGCAGAAAUAUCUCACAGAAUAAAAUAAGCACAGACUCAUCAUCAAGUGACAGCUCAGAUGACAUGCCCCUGACUAAGAUGGUCGACAAACUCAAGACACAAAUGCGAACGAAGACACCCACCACUACAGUCAGAAAAACACCUGGCAUUAAAAAGCCCAGGAAAGUUUUAAAAAAACACAACAGGAGUAUAGAGACCUCAGAUGACAGCUCUGAUGAUGAGCCAUUAAUAAAUCUGACCAAGAAGUCUCCAUCUAAAGAGACUGAAAGGACAAUGCUGAAGAAGUGUGUCGCUAAGGAAUCAAACAGCAACAACUGUAAUAAAAUUAAAGGGAAAAUAAGCAGAGAGGAAGAGGUGAGUUCUGAUGACGAGCCCUUGAUAAAUCUAGUCAAGAAGCCUCUUAAAGCUGUAAAGAAGACCACGACACCAUUAAAGAAGAGGAGCGUAUCAGGAAAGACUGUGGUAGCCAGAAAGAAGACGAGACCAGACAUUGUGAACAAAGCAGUCAUCAGACGGAGCACCAAAGUUGUUCAAAGCACACGUGAAGGGUCUUUGGAUGACAGCUCAGACGAUGGGCCCUUGAGUAAAAAGAUGGUGAGAAAUCCACCAAUGAAGAGCCUAAUGCUGAUUCUGGAGAGAUGUGACACUAAAGAAGUCUUGGAAGAUAACUAUAGAGCCAACGUGGGAAACACCAGUAAAAGAAGUGCAGAGCUUCUAGACAUCAGAACUGGGAUUAUUCACCUCAAAUUGGACGAGGAGUUCUUCUUCAAUGAGUCGGACGCGAGGGAUAUACUGCAGAUAUCCGACCAGGCCCCGGUCCCCGUGAUUCGCUAGAGAAGGAAACUGAGAUUUCAAGGCAAAAGAUAAGGGUGCCUUCUGAGGAUCAGGCGACGAGUGGCUAAUCUGCCUUCCAUUCUGCUGGCUAACUGUCACGCUCUGACCUAUGAGAGCUGUUUUUUCUCUGUGUAGUUAGGUCAGGGUGUGAUAUGGGUGGGCAGUCUAUGUUUGUUGUUUCUAUGUUUAGUUCUUGUUUUUCUAUUUCUAUGUUGAGUUUUGGGAUGAUCUCCAAUUAGAGGCAGCUGGUUCGUGUUGUCUCUAAUUGGAGAUCAUAUUUAAGUUGGGGUUUUUCUAUGGUGUUUUGUGGGUAGUUGUUUUCCGUUUUGUGGUUGUUGCCUGACGGAACUGUUUGCUGUCGUUUUUGUUCCUUUGUAAAGUGUUUCAUUUUUUCAUUAAAUAAUAACCCUGAGCACUCAACACGCCGCGCCUUGGUCCCAUCUAUACGACUGCCGAGUCGUAUAGAGUCGUGGCUGAACGAUGACAUUAAGAACAUAUGGUGAGUGAUUGUCACGUCCUGACCAGUAUAGGGGUUAUUUGUAUUUGUAGGUUGGUCAGGACGUGGCAGAGGGUAUUUGUUUUAUGUGGUUCGAGGGUUAUGUGUAUUGUAGAGGGGUGUUUUAUUUAUGUAUUACGGGGAUUUGGUGUAUGUUCUGGGUUUUGUAUUCUAGGUUGGUUUUCUAGUUUGUUUAUGUCUGUGUGGCUCCCGAUCAGGAACAGCUGUACGUCAUUAUUCCUGAUUGGGAAUCAUAUAUUAGUUGCGUGUUUUCACCUGGGGAUUUGUGGGUAGUUGAUUUUGCACUGCUUAUUAUAGCCUGUAAAACUGUUCCUGUCGUGUCUUUGUUUAUUGUUUUUCCCGUGUUCACAUUUUAAUAAAUAAUAAUGAUGAGCACGCAACCCGCUGCGCCUUGGUCCUCUCUCUCCUACGACAGUCGUUACAGUGAUACAGUUUAUCAGCAAGACAGAACAGCAGCCUCUGGUAAGACAAGGGGCGGGGGACUAUGCAUUAACGUAAACAAAAGCUGGUGCAUGAUAUCUAAGGUAGUCUCAAAGUUUUUCUUGCCUGAGGUAGAGUACACUAUAAGUUGUAGACCACACAAUCUACCUACAGAGUUUUCAUCUGUUUUUUUCGUAGCUGUCUUCAUACCUCCACAGAGCGAGGUUGGCACUAAAACCGCGCUCAAUGAGCUGUAUUCUGCCAUAAACAAACAGGAAAACACACCCAGAGGCGGCGCUCCUAGUGGCCGGUGGCUUUAAUGCAGGGAAACUUAAAUCGGUUUUACCAAAUUUCUAUCAGCAUGUUAAAUGUGCAACCACAGGGAAAAAAAUUCUAGACCGCCUUUACUCCAUACAAAGCUCUCCCUCGCCCUCCAUUUGGCAAAUCUGACCAUAACUCUAUCCUCCUGAUUCCUGCUUAUAAGCAAAAAUUAAAGCAGGAAGCACCAGUGACUAGAUCCACAAUAGAUUUUGAAGGAAACAAUUUAGAUAUGAUUUAAGUGUAGACUUUCAUCUUUAAUUUAAGGGUUUUG